GACGAACGCUGGCGGCGUGCUUAACACAUGCAAGUCGAACGAAGAGCGAUGGAAGCUUGCUUCUAUCAAUCUUAGUGGCGAACGGGUGAGUAACGCGUAAUCAACCUGCCCUUCAGAGGGGGACAACAGUUGGAAACGACUGCUAAUACCGCAUACGAUCUAAUCUCGGCAUCGAGGAUAGAUGAAAGGUGGCCUCUACAUGUAAGCUAUCACUGAAGGAGGGGAUUGCGUCUGAUUAGCUAGUUGGAGGGGUAACGGCCCACCAAGGCGAUGAUCAGUAGCCGGUCUGAGAGGAUGAACGGCCACAUUGGGACUGAGACACGGCCCAGACUCCUACGGGAGGCAGCAGUGGGGAAUCUUCCGCAAUGGACGAAAGUCUGACGGAGCAACGCCGCGUGAGUGAUGACGGCCUUCGGGUUGUAAAGCCCUGUUAAUCGGGACGAAAGGCCUUCUUGCGAAUAGUGAGAAGGAUUGACGGUACCGGAAUAGAAAGCCACGGCUAACUACGUG
rnacentral:rRNA from 1 species